rnacentral:rRNA from 1 species
GAUUCUGGCUCAGGAUGAACGCUGGCGGCGUGCUUAACACAUGCAAGUCGAACGAAGCAACUAUCUUGCUUGCAAGAGAGUUGACUUAGUGGCGGACGGGUGAGUAACGCGUGGGUAACCUGCCUCAUACAGGGGGAUAACAGUUGGAAACGACUGCUAAGACCGCAUAACCCGCUAGUGUCGCAUGACACGGACGGAAAAUAUUUAUAGGUAUGAGAUGGGCCCGCGUCUGAUUAGCUAGUUGGUAAGGUAACGGCUUACCAAGGCGACGAUCAGUAGCCGACUUGAGAGAGUGAUCGGCCACAUUGGGACUGAGACACGGCCCAAACUCCUACGGGAGGCAGCAGUGGGGAAUAUUGGACAAUGGGGGAAACCCUGAUCCAGCGACGCCCGCGUGAGUGAAGAAGUAUUUCGGUAUGUAAAGCUCUAUCAGCAGGGAAGAUAAUGACAGUACCUGACUAAGAAGCCCCGGCUAACUACGUGCCAGCAGCAGC